GGUUUUAUCAUCAGACAGACCUACUUGCAGGAAAUUUGAACACAGCCACAUACAGGAGGAAUAUGAUGUGAAGACAAAGGGAGAAGACAGCCAUCUAUAAGCUAAGGACAUGGACCUGGAACACAUCCUUCCCUCCCAGCCCUCAGACAGAACCAACUCUGUAGAUCAACCAACACCUUGACUUUCAGCCUCCAGAACUCAGUCGAUAAGGAAAAAGAUUGACAAAAGAAACUAUAAGCAAGCAUGCUGUUUUGAGUCGCCGGAGGAUAGAGACGGCCCAAGAAGAAUUUCAAGAGAACUGCUAAUGAGAAACCUUCCGUGGUGAGACUUGAACUGACAAGCUAUUCCCCCAGGCUCCUCGGGAACAUCUCAUAACUAAUCGGGACAUUCCAUCAAGACCACAUGCACAGGGCCACAGCCUAGACAGCAGAGCAUCCAAACCGCCAAAGAAAAUGUUGAGGCUGCACCAAUAAGGGACUUUGUGCAAUGCCUCUUUUAUUGAAAAAAUCUAUUUAAAUGAAAUCUUUCUAGGACAUUAUGUCAAAACUGCAACUGGAAAC
rnacentral:lncRNA from 1 species